rfam:Salmo salar isolate Sally breed double haploid chromosome ssa24, whole genome shotgun sequence.
UGCAUUCACUACUGUUUGUCGCUCUAGAUAAGAGCGUCUGCUAAAUGACUAAAA